GUGGUGUGGUGUGGUGUGGUGAGGUGAGGUGUGGUGUGGUGAGGUGAGGUGUGGUGUGGUGUGGUGUGGUGUGGUGUGGUGUGGUGUGGUGAGGUGUGGUGUGGUGUGGUGUGGUGUGGUGUGGUGUGGUGUGGUGUGGUGUGGUGUGGUGAGUGGUGUGGUGUGGUGUGUUGUGGUGUGGUGUGGUGUGGUGUGGUGUGGUGUGGUGUGGUGAGGUGUGGUGUGGUGUGGUGUGGUGUGGUGUGGUGUGGUGUGGUGUGGUGUGGUGUGGUGUGGUGUGGUGCUGUGAGUGGUGCUGGGGGAUGUGGAGAAAUGUGCUUCUGAAUAAUGAAAAAGGGAGGAUGUCCACAUGGGUAUAUUCUCUGAUCUGAUCCCUGGCUCUUGGAGUGAAUUUAAUAAAAGACCAGACCAGUUUUGGAUGUACAUGUGCAUAGUUCUAGCUUCAUCAAACCUUGGUUAUAUGUAGCCAUCAGUGUGAUGUAUACUUAUUAAAGAAUUUGUUCUCUUUCUUCUACCAUUUUCUUACUACAGGCUACAUUUGAAGGUGUUACCAGAGCCUUAAUUGCCCAACAGCGCCCAAGGCAAGCAUAUCUAAAAAAUAAAAUAAAACAACUUAAUGUUUUAGUUAGCUUUUAUUCUUACAUAAUUGGCACAAGAAAGACACAACUUCUUGAUUUGACCAAAAAAUAAUGUUCUCCCAUUUGUAAUACUCUUUUUGAGAAAAUCAUUUACAAUGCCUUAAAAAUUCUCUGCCUUCAACCCCAUUCCCGGCGGUUCAUUUUCAGAGGCCUCCAGGUCGGGUUUAUUGGUAAUUAUUUUCAGUCAUUCUGCUUGCAGAGACAGUUUGCUUCAAUGCAUGUCAGCAUCGUAAAGGUCCUAAACUGACCCAUUAACAGGUAAUGGGCUGGGGACAAGCCGUUUUCCACCAUGAGAACGCCCAUAAACCCACCGGCAAGACCCUAAUUGAGGUCCCUCUGUGAUGAAUGUCCGCGUCUUAUCAUGCUCCACUUGUAAUUGUUUCGCGAUAGUUUAUUGUCCUCGCCUCCGCUCACAAUUAAGUCCUUGGAGACACAAUAAAUAAGAUGGGGAGACAGUGGACCAGUCAGAUAAUAGGGAUUUCCAAAGCUGGGGUCUCUGUGAGCUGACAGCUUUGUUUUUUUUGUUGUUGUUUUGUUUUCUUCAACUUUAAGAAAAGCAGCGCCAUAGAAAUGAGAUAUCGAGUUGGUGUUUAUGCUUUCUGUUAAAAACACAAACAAAAGCGGGAAGUGUACAUAUAUUUUCUUCUCUCUCCUUCGCUUUUAAAUUGCGAAGCGUGUUUUUUUUCUUUUUCAAAGGCAGUUAUAGCACAGUCUCUGUUCUUCCCUGCGCGAGGCAGCAGGCUUCAGUUUGUGUUAGGGUGGGGUUCAACAACUGCGGCAGAGCACGCCGACUGCCUCUUUGCGCCUCAUUAAAUUCCUCACAACCAGAUGGGAGAGUUUAGACCAUCCAGAUCUCAUCCACUAUCCUCCUUCUCACACGCCAGGACAGAAGACAAACUCCUGUAUUUAGCCCAGGAAAGGGUUCACCCAGCCAGGCUGAAGGGUCCAUUACGGUGCACUUUAUGUCAAACCGUCACUGGCCAAUGAAGAAUAAAUGCGAGAGUAAUCACCUCCGGAGAGGAGUAAGACCAGUCUUCAGACGGAAGAACAUAACAUAACUGUCAUUAUAUCUCUCCCCCCUCCAUUCUGGCAUUAGGCUUGUCUUUAUGUCUGCAGGGUGUUCAUUCCAGUCCGGGAAUAGCAGCCAAGAAAAACAUAAACAUAAACACCAUUUAUUUAUAGUGGUGAGUAUCUCAGCAAUGGUAAUAAAAUGAGCAAAUGUGUCUCGCCAAACUAUAUAUGACCAAAGUGGCUCUCUUUCGGGUGGCACCUUUGCACUGCCUAGCAUAUGAAAAGAGCAAUGUUACCGUCACUACUGCUGUGAGAAAAGGAUGGUGGUUGUGGUGGUAGCAGUGAGGGUCAUCAUGACAUUGUUUACGGAACAGCAGCAGUGGAUCAUAAUCAGAUCAUAACUUAACUACUUCUUGCCACGUAUUAACCGAUUUAUGUUUAACUUGUUUAAUUGUGUUUAUUCUACAUGGUCGAUAUGAUAUUGAUAUGCAGCAAUUUACCACAUUUUGAGAUGUGUUGUUAUAGCCAACUAGUUUAAGAAUCAUCUUCAAAUUCAUUUUGAGAGUAUGUGGUCCAGUAAAGGAUAGGUAAACACACGUCUUUCCCACUAUGCUCCCAGGCUUUACACUAACUAGUGCUGUGGUCAGGGAUGGAAACCCAGUUAGCAUGCUAGCAAGAUUUUCUCAGUGCCAACUUUUUUUUUGCCGUGCCUUUUAGGCAGUUAGCUUGCUAGUUUCAAACCAAAACACCUUACUGCUUUAAGUUGUAUUUUUCACUAACAAUAUUGAGCGUGUGUGCUCUAGUUUAAGGUCAGUGAGCAUGAGGAUUCUGACUCCAACUCACAACAUUGUUACCACAUUCCAUAACUACCGCUUGUCUGACAGACAGGACAUCCCUUUGGAUCCUAUUAGUAUCACAGACACAUCACUGCUUCAUCCGUGUCCCCCCAUACUGUUUGUCUGCUUUUCAGUCCGUUUGUAUUCCCUGCUAGUGCUGCGAGGUUCAAGUGAACAUCACUUCACGGCAAGAAAGAAAGAAAAAAAGAGCCCGAUACACCCCACCCCAACUCUGAGAUGUCCUCUUUUGUUAGAAAGAUCUUAAAAUGAGGCCAGGGCAGUUAGUCUGAACGCCACGGUUUAAUCCAGGCUCAGAAUCCGGGGGCCCUGGGGCUAGUCGUGUAGACAAGGGCACAGCUAAUGAGAAAAGCUCCUUGCAGUAAUUUUGAAGAGGGAUUAUGGCUGACCCCCGUCUCUCCCAUCCUGGUUGCUGACUGAAACGGGCAAGAAAGAGAGAGAGAGAGAUAGAGAGAGAGAGAGAGAGAGAAAGAGAGAGGGAGAGAGAGAGCGAGAGAGAUAUGUACCGAGGUAACAAUUGCAUUACCUACAACUCCCCUCCUCGACAAAUAGAGCUUCACAGAGGAAGCGGGUAUAAAGCUAAUGAAAUCCAAUUGCUAUGCGGCUGCUGCUGUCUUCAAGCUAUUUUUCCUCAAUUGAGAGUAAAAUAGGGGAUGCUUCAGCGGGGAAACACAAGCUGAUGAAACAUGCUGUUUUGUGCACUGCAACGGGGCUGUUAACAUUUGCUUUUAUACACAAAAUCUGAUAAGCCUCUUUAAUAUUGUGAAGUCCCAGCAGUCUCAGAUAGGAUUUGUUUACCAUUUAUUUCUCUGUUUACCCACUCCUUCCAUAUUCAUUGGCUCUUUGCUUCUUCUCACAUUUGCCUAUUGAUUGGUAAUUGUGUGUGUCCCUGUUAUGCCUUGGACGGACCAUCUUUAAUCUAAUAUUACUCAUCUAAGUGACUGAAAAUUCCCUGAAAAAUACCAAAGCGGCGUUUAUGGUUCAUGCCACACGAAAAGGUAGUUUAUCAGUAUGAAUAACUACAAUGAGAUACUUAUAAUCAAAAUUCUAUUUGGGUAAGUUGAAAGAUGAAAAUGUUUUCUGAGAUGUUACUGACAAUAAUCCGUCACCUGUUUUAAAACAUGAUUGGAUGCAUGUUAACUAUGUUUUUUUUAACUAUGCAUUUACUGUAGCACUCUGAGAUUCAGACGAAUAUAGAGUGCGCUAUAAAUUAAAUUAAUUAUUAUUAUUAUUAUUAUUAUUAUUAUUAACGAACCCUGUUUUAUUUUCUCUGGUCAAGGCACAGUGGGGAACUGAAGAGCGAAUGUGUGGAUUAAAAAUAGAAUUCUAUAGAUGAAUUCCCAAAUCUUCCCUUCAUAUCUACAGUCCUAUGGCUGUCGGGUGUGCACACAACUGAAAACAAACGCAUCAAAGGAUAUUAAAAAGGUAUAAAUGCGUGACCUUCGACCCACUAUCUGUCAGUACGUGAGAAGUGGGAAAACAUGAUAGGUAAGUGAGGCUGCCAUAAAUAAAAUUGGACAGAACAGCAGUGUCUUCAAGAAGCUAGAUAUGGAGGUAAUGUUCAGAUUCAAAUCACAAAGAAUAACAAUAACAAUAUGUAGAUGUGUCUGGGAAUCUUGAAAAAGAAGUGUUUGAAGAUCUGAUUGAUAGAAGUGCACUGAGGGGUCAUGGCUUUAAGCAAAUGUUCUUGAAAAGUGGGAGAGUAAUGAAAGAUUGACUCGCCUAUAAGGGCAAUAUACUCAGAGACUAUAGGGUGGAAGCAAAACUUUCAUACUGUGUGGAACAAAACUGAGGGAAAUAGAAUAGGCUCUUUGGAAUAUAACAGAACAUCUUUCUAUGCAACUGAUGGGAAUGUCUGGCUUUCAACUCACAUAGGGGGAUGGUACCUCACAGUGCGUUUUAUUCUACCAGCGAGGUCAGUUGAACCUGUCAACGGUGGAAUAUAACGAGGCCAAGGUUCACCAGACUGUUGAUCUCUUUUGUAAAUGGCAGGAACCUUUACUUCAAUUACUUGUACUUCAUCAAGUCUUUUUUAAUACCGAAAGGAAUACUUUUUCAGAGCAGUCAGUUCACAGUAUGCCAAAGGUCUGACCUUUAAGGCCAUCAUCUUUUAUAGUAAUAUUUUCUACCCUCCUCAUUCCACUCCAAAGACUCUCUCCAACAUUCAGUCUUUAUAUUCAGACAGCAUGCUAAGGGCAUCAUGACCCUACUUUUGCAUUCUGGAGGGCAAGUUCUUGAGCCAGCACUCCAAUUAAGGACGAAGCAUUUACUUGGACUCAUUGUUGGGCACGAUUGCCCGGAGUGAUUUUCGAAGGUCCAACCAGGCCCGCUGUGUGUCUCGCUCGGGCCCCGGGAGAAGAUGAUGUCCAGAUCAGCUCUCCUCUCCAACACAGUAUUUCACCAUAGACCUUUGCAUGGGCCCCACCUGGCCUUGGGCACAGGGUCACCUGUACCCUUUGACACCUGUACCCUUUGACCCCCCCUGACGGCGGCCCUAGGUCCAGCUCAUGUAUCUUGAACAAACUCAUGAAGAUGAAGGGUAUCAUAAUGUCAGGGAUUUAAUACCCUUUAUUUAUUUGUAUUCAGCCAACGACCUGCCUGGUUCUCCUGUGCAAUUUUGAACGGCAUUUAUGAAAGUUAGUCAAGCAAUAAAUGGAAAUCGUUUGUGCUGAUGAUGUUUCUGGUCAUCGUUGUCUAACCACGUUCAGGAGGGUUUAUGACGGCGAGGCAUUUCGAAACAGUGACAAAAACAUUCUCAGAAAUGGCAUUUUAUUUAGCUCAGUGUAAUGUUUAUCUUUUGAAACUCUGUGAUCUUUCGGGGAAGGGAAAAACAAAAGACACGAGAGUUUCCUUCAAGCAGCGACAGAUGUCACAAUGCAAAGGGGAACAACACACCUGACUUAUGUCUGACAUAAAACCGGGUCAGAUCUUUUUUUGUUCUCUCUACUAAUCUCCUUUCAUGUCGAAGUAUGGAGGUCACACAACUCACUCACAGCAAGAUCAAACUUUUUAGCCCCUUCUGAAUGUCCCCCUCUGAAUCUUACCAGGAGGUGAGAAGCUGUGCGAAAAUCUCCGGUCCGAUUCUUCUUUUGUUUCCCGAGCAUAAACCCCCGCGUCCGUCCGGCGCGCUGUUCCGUGACAAGAGCGGAAGAGGGACGAGAACUGAGGGAAUGGCCAGACCGCUCCUCUGGCAUCAUCUCCUCAUUAGCAAAGCAAAUUAUUGAAGCGGUUUCCGUCUCCUAAUCAAAUAAUUGGUUUGAGGAGAUAACGGCACCCUCUGAAGGAUGUUCAAGUUGGAAGGAGCGUCCACAGGGACAAGGUGGUGGAGAUGGCGAGAGGAGGUGGGGAGGAGGAGUGGGGAGAAGGGGGUUAGUGGAGAUGGAGCUGAAGUUUGCUGUCCUAGAGCAGCCACUCUUAAAAGCUGUCAUUACUUCUUUCUCCCUACCUAACACACACACACACACACACACACACACACACACACACACACACACACUUGCCAACACAAGUGCGGCAGCAGCUCUGUCACUCCGCCUUCAGCUCCCCCCCCCCAGUCUCCCUGCCAAACGGAAAAAGGCUCGGGACAGUUGCCAGACUUGUGACGGGAUCUUACAGGAGCAUGGGUAAUUGGUUGGCACUUGGAAUAAAAUAAAGAAAACGAUCCUGAAAAAUUAAGAGAAAAGAAAAAAAAUGAUGGGUGUGAGUGAUUUUUGCAGACUCUUGCAGACUGUGACUUAGGGAGAUCUUCGUGCUUGCUGAGGAGGACUUCGGGGCUUUGGGACUCCGUCCUGAUGGAGAUAGACAGACAGCUUGUCAGGCCCAUUGCUUGCCUGUCUCUUUGGAAUGCUAAACAGAGUCCUGGGAUCAUACGUGUCUAGUGGCCGCCUGACACUGUAAUGGGACCGCAGCAUAUUACAGUGACAACAGGCUGCUGCUAAUUACCUAGGUUAAGAGGAGAUUGGCACACUGCACUGGUAGAAGUUGUAGAUGUGUGUGUAUGUGUGUGUGUGCGUGUGUGUGUGUGCGU
ensembl:lncRNA